rnacentral:tRNA from 1 species
GCGGGUGUGGUUCAAUGGUAGAAUAUAAGCUUCCCAAGCUUGGGACGGGGGUUCGAUUCCCCUCACCCGCU